GAUGAACGCUGGCGGCGUGCCUAAUACAUGCAAGUCGAGCGAACAGACGAGGCGCUUGCUUCUCUGACGUUAGCGGCGGACGGGUGAGUACCACGUGGAUAACCUACCUAUAAGACUGAGAUAACUUCGGGAAACCGGAGCUAAUACCGGAUAAUAUAUUGAACCGCAUGGUUCAAUAGUGAAAGACGGUUUUGCUGUCCCUUAUAGAUGGAUCCGCGCCGCAUUAGCUAGUUGGUAAGGUAACGGCUUACCAAGGCGACGAUGCGUAGCCGACCUGAGAGGAUGAUCAGCCACACUGGAACUGAGACACGGUCCAGACUCCUACGGGAGGCAGCAGUAGGGAAUAUUCCGCAAUGGGCGAAAGCCUGACGGAGCAACGCCGCGUGAGUGAAGAAGGUCUUCGGAUCGUAAAACUCUGUUAUUAGGGAAGAACAAAUGUGAAAGUAACUAUGCACGUCUUGACGGUACCUAAACAGAAAGCCACGGCUAACUACGUG
rnacentral:rRNA from 1 species